UUUUUUUUAGUUUCAGUAAUGUUAGUUGGGCGAAGGGGGAUAUAGGGACAGCUUUUGGUCUGGAAUGGAACAAGAGCAUUAGAGUGGAUCAGCAGACCCUCACUGCCAAUAUGGUGAUGGCAGCAGGAUGAAAGAGAAUCUCAAGGGGAAGGUAAAAUAAUAUAACAACAAUAAUAAUAGCUGUGCUAAACAUUUAUUCAUUAAGAACCAAGUUAGAUUUCCUCGGUCAGCUUUCUCUUCAGAACUAAAGAUUCUCCUUCAAAUGCUAAACCUUAUGUUUCUUAGUGUUUUGGUUUUCUUUUUUUGGUAUUGACAAUUAAACACAGGGGCACUUUUCCACUGAGCCACAUCCCUAGCCCUUUUUUAAAUUUUGAGAUAGGGUCUCGUUAAGUUGCUUAAGUCCUCACCAUGUUACCGAGACUGGCCUCGAACUUGAGAUCCUCCAGCUUUGGCCUCCUAAAUCACUGGGAUUACAGGUGUGCACCACCAUGCACAGUUAGGUUUUAAUUCUCUUCAGACUUGAAUGAGACUCCAAAGAGCUAUAUUAAGAUGGAAGUGCUAAAGCAUCAACAUAGAAUGAUGAAAAGGUAUGUGGAUGAUGGAGUCUAGCAAACCUGGGCUUGAAUCCUGGUUCUGUCACUUAGCAUCACAAAACUAAAUGGAUAUUCUACCACUGAGCUACAUCCCCAGCCUUUUUUAUUUUGAGACAAGUUCUUGCUAACUUGCCCAGGCUGGCCUCGAACUUGCAAUCCUCUUGCCUCAAUCUGUGGAGUCCCUGGGGUUACAGGCAUGUACGGGCCCAGCAACAUUGGGCAAUUUUCUUAAUGUCUCUAUGCUUCAGUAUCCUCAAUGUAAAACAGGGGAGAUAUCAGAGGAUUGUUGUAACAAAUAAAUACGAUAUGAGUGUAAAAGUAUCUUGCAUUUGUGCCUAACACAGAAUAAACAUUCGAAAAAUCUAAGCAAGUCUGAUAGUAUCUGAUAAUUUUGAAGAAAAAGAUCUACUCUCAGAGUUUUUGACAUAACAAAGACAAGCUAGGCAUAUUGACACUUGCCUAUAACCCUGGAUACUCAGGAGGCUGACGCAAGAGCAUUGCAAGUUUGAGGCCAGCCUGGGGGACUUAGCAAGACCCUGUCUCAAAAUAAAAAAUAAAAAGCAAGGGGAUGUAGCUCAGUGAUAGAAUGCCCCUGGGUUCAAUCCCCAGUAUUGGAGUGUGUGUCGGGGGGCAGGGGGGAAUAAAUGUAUAAAACCGAUUUUAAAAUAAAUUUGUUGAUGUAUAAUUUGUAUACAAGGGUACAUACUCAUUUUAAGUGAACAGAUAAGUGAGUUUGACAAAUCAAUUCAUUCAUAGAAUCACUACCACAAUCAUGAUACAGAGCAUAGUCAUCAUUCCACAAGUCCCUCUGAGAGCUCACAACAAUCUUCCUACCCAAGACCCAAGGCCAUGCUGGUUUGCUUUCUGUAACUAUGGAGUAGGGUAUUCAGAAUUUCGUAUGCACAGAACCAUCCUGUAUCUAUGUUUCUAUCCAGCUUCUUUCACUCAGCAAGAUGUUUUGGGAAUCUAUCCACUUUUUGUAUCCAUAGCUUACUGCAUCACUGAGUAGUUAGUAUCUGAUUGUGUAGAUAUGCUAUAAUUUAUUUGUCAAUUAACCUGUUGAGAUAUUCUUGUAAUACUUCCACUUUUUUGGCUGUUAUGAAUAAUAGAGAAAUAAAACAAACUGUGAUAAUUUUGUGGAUGUACCUUUUGUAGAAACAUCUUUAUUUUUCUUACAUAAAAGAAACUAC
rnacentral:lncRNA from 1 species